rnacentral:rRNA from 1 species
CCUACGGGAGGCAGCAGUGGGGAAUAUUGCACAAUGGGGGAAACCCUGAUGCAGCGACGCCGCGUGAGUGAAGAAGGAUCUCGGUACGUAAAGCUCUAUCAGCAGGGAAGAAAAAGACGGUACCUGACUAAGAAGCCCCGGAUAACGACGGGGCAGCAGCCGCGGGAAAACGUAGGGGGCAAGCGUUAUCCGGAUUUACUGGGUGUAAAGGGAGCGGAGACGGGAGCACAAGGCUGGAGUUAAAUCCCGGGGCUUAACCCCGUAACUGCUUUGGAAACUGUGCGGCUGGAGUGCAGGAGGGGUUAGCGGCAUUCCUCGUGUAGCGGUGAAAUGCGUAGAUAUUAGGAGGAACACCGGUGGCGAAGGCGGCUUACUGGACUGUAGCUGACGUUGAGGCUCGCAAGCGUGGGGAGCAAACAGGAUUAGAUACCCCAGUAGUC